ACGAACGCUGGCGGCGUGCUUCACCCCUGCCAGUCGAACGGAAAGGCCCCUUUGGGGGUACUCGAGUGGCGAACGGGUGAGUAACACGUGAGUAACCUGCCCUUGACUUCGGGAUAACUUCAGGAAACUGGGGCUAAUACCGGAUAGGAAUCCUUGCUGCAUGGUGGGGGUUGGAAAGCUUCGGCGGUUUUGGAUGGACUCGCGGCUUAUCAGCUUGUUGGUGGGGUAGUGGCUUACCAAGGCUUUGACGGGUAGCCGGCCUGAGAGGGCGACCGGCCACAUUGGGACUGAGAUACGGCCCAGACUCCUACGGGAGGCAGCAGUGGGGAAUAUUGCACAAUGGGCGGAAGCCUGAUGCAGCAACGCCGCGUGCGGGAUGACGGCCUUCGGGUUGGAAACCGCUUUCAGCAGGGGCGAAGCUUGUGGUGACGGUACCUGCAGAAGAAGCACCGGCUAACUACGUG
rnacentral:rRNA from 1 species